CAACUUUCAGCAACGGAUCUCUUGGCUCUCGCAUCGAUGAAGAACGCAGCGAAAUGCGAUAAGUAAUGUGAAUUGCAGAAUUCAGUGAAUCAUCGAAUCUUUGAACGCACCUUGCGCCCCUUGGCUAUUCCAAGGGGCAUGCCUGUUUGAGUAUCAUGA
rnacentral:rRNA from 1 species